rnacentral:rRNA from 1 species
GACGAACGCUGGCGGCGUGCCUAAUACAUGCAAGUCGAGCGCAGGAAGCCGUCUGAACCCUUCGGGGGGACGACGGUGGAAUGAGCGGCGGACGGGUGAGUAACACGUAAAGAACCUGCCCAUAGGUCUGGGAUAACCACGAGAAAUCGGGGCUAAUACCGGAUGUGUCAUCGGACCGCAUGGUCCGCUGAUGAAAGGCGCUCCGGCGUCGCCCAUGGAUGGCUUUGCGGUGCAUUAGCUAGUUGGUGGGGUAACGGCCCACCAAGGCGACGAUGCAUAGCCGACCUGAGAGGGUGAUCGGCCACACUGGGACUGAGACACGGCCCAGACUCCUACGGGAGGCAGCAGUAGGGAAUCUUCCACAAUGGACGAAAGUCUGAUGGAGCAACGCCGCGUGAACGAUGAAGGCUUUCGGGUCGUAAAGUUCUGUUGUAAGGGAAGAACAAGUGCCGCAGGCAAUGGCGGCACCUUGUCGGUACCUUGCGAGAAAGCCACGGCUAACUACGUGCCAGCCGCCGCCGUAAUAC